GGAGCUGGCACAGUCUGUUUAGACGGAGAAGCAGCGGGUGGUGAAGAUACUGGAGCAGGCGAUUUAGGUUUUGCAGGAGCCUUAGCUGGUGCGGUCACGGGCGCUGCAGGAGUUACCGGAGUAGCCACAGGGGCUACCGGAGUCACCGGAGUAGCAGUAGGAGCCGACGUCGGAGCUUGGCCACCGACACUAGCGACGAUAACGCACAUUAAUGCCACAGUAAACACGCUUUUGCGAUCCAUUUUCAGAGAGAGAACAAGAAAGAAGAAACUAAGGGAGUGCGAAUCGAAAAGCAACACCCACCACCACUGACGAGAACGUAUAUUUAAAAGCCCCUUUUUUAGUUUUAAAAAAAGAGUAACGG
rnacentral:misc_RNA from 1 species